UGUGAAUGUAGGCAGCCUAAUAUAGGAGGUAGAGACUCUAUGCCUUCCUUGAUGGAAAAAUUGCAGCACGACUUUGUUCUCUUUUGUAUUAGUUAAUCAUCAAUGUAGAGAACUCUCAUCACAACAUAUAAACUGAUUCAAAGUACCAGUGCUUCGUCAUGGCUGCCUCCUCUUCACCAGACAAUAAUACAAAAGCUCCAUGUCCCUGCUACCUGUUAACAAACAGAGGCUCAGGGAUAAAAGUGAUGGCGGGCUCCAGAGCCCCUUAUACAGCAGGCUGUUGGCAUCGCGUGCAUUUUUGGCAACAGGCAAAGCACGGGAGCCAUUGCAAACCUGGGCUAGAGCUGAAGACUGCUAAAUCCCACUCUUCUGUUCUGGUUACCAUCUCACACUGAUCGAGAGUGAACACAGCACUGCCAAAGAAGGAUGGAAACAUCACCUGAGCUGGAGUACGAUUUCCGAGCAGUCCUGGUGUGCAGUCACAUUGCUCAGUAGCCAGAGGUUUGCUUCAAGCAGUGAAGGGUUGCGGGGCUGUUCUCCAGGUGCCUGCAGAAGCUCGGUUUCUGAAAGGCCCCAGGAGCUGGUCGGAGGAGAGGGAACCCUCGCAGCCUUCCAGGCUGCCGGGAGCUGCUUUUCCAUCUCCUAGCAGAGAGUCGGCAACGAGCUCAGUCCUCUCUCUGGGACAGACAAACAGAUGUACAUACAUCGGUCAGGAUAUGGUAGCUUCAGUGAAACUUCACGAGCUAGGAGAGAUUUUCAGAAGCCCCAGCAAACAGCUUCCACAUCACUGACGUACAGUUUAACGUCUUUAAGAUGCACACUUAACCCAAAAGUCCUGUCUUCCAGUAAGAUUUUGGCCCGAAGCGCUGGUUUCAGCUUACGGUGAACUCGGGCUGUGGCAGAAGGCGGGCUGCUUGCAGCACUGGGUGGAAAGCAGCUGAGGAAAGCAUCGGCAGGCAAGUUCAAGUCUGGGGGGCUGCACGCCUGUGCCUCUAGCUGCAUCUACCUGUGCACACGCAUUUUGUAUCCUGAAUAAUACUCCCAUCCGCUAAGUAAGCGUUUUGAGAUUGUGAAGAGCAUCGUGAAACGCUUUUCGUGUAAAGACAUUGAAAAGGCUUUUCGUGCACAGAAAUCAUGUGAGCAUCCUUUUGCAAACCACCGAAAUCCGCUCCCCUGCUGUGAAGUAUCUGGGCUGGAAAGAGAAAACGUUGCACUCUGAUUUCGUAUUUUGUUAUUUUUAUGUUCAAGGCGCGUAAAGGAGCUUCUCCGAGCCUCUCCAUCCCUCCACCGCCAGCCUUUGGGCUCAGCCCUGCGGCGGAGCUCAAGGCGGUGUCCAGCCGGCGGGGUACCCCUGCCGGGGUGGGA
rnacentral:lncRNA from 1 species